GCCAUUUUCCAAAAUGCCUUAUUCUUUACUAUCUCUGCACUUUUGUUCAUUCUCUCUACUUUGGAAAUGGCUCCUCUCUGGCUUUUCAUCUGUCAAAAUUCUGCCAUUUUCUCGGUAUCCAACUCAGAUGCUCUCUUUUCCGUGAGUCUCCUAACUGGCCAGAAUAGAACUUUUAAGUUUUAUGUCAUUUUGUUAUGUAUCCUCUCUUUGUAUACAAAAUCCCGUAAAAUAAUUACUUGCCUGCAUUUGCUGUCUUUGCAGAUAGCAGACUCCUUGAAACCAGGGUCCUUGUUUAGUGCAUCUUUGCCCACAUACAGCACAACAUACCAUGAAGCAUUUAUUAGGAAGGAGGAGUUUAGAGAGCAGGCUAUCAGAAUAAGCAGCCAUCUUGUGCCUCCUGAUUGCUGAGUGUUCACCUGGACCUUCUGACUACCUUCCUUGUGCUAUUCCAUCAGCCUACAGAUCCUACAGACCUGGUACCUGGAUUUUUGCUGAAGAUGAUUCCUACCACCUUACUACUGAAGAAGACACCCAUUCCAUUGGACCACUGUGACUCAGGAGGCAUUCAGCCAUCAUGAUGUGGCCUCUACCUCCACUCCUGUUCUGUUCUACCCAGAUUCAGCACAGCCCUUUAUAGUGAAGUCCGAGUCCUCAAGCCAAAUAGCUAAAGCUGUUUUAUCACAACAAAGGCCUAGUUUGUUCCAUGAGUGUACAUUUCUUCAGUUAAAGCCUUCAGAGACACACAUAAAUUUGGACCAGGGGAUUUUUUAGUUAUUAAUGCUAUUUGAAGAAAAGCAACAUCUUUUUGAGAACAGCAUUGGACCGUACCACACAAUCUCAAAUGAUUGAAAUUCAUCUGCACCCUGUUUUUUCUACUUCAAAUCCUGUACUAGCCUAUUGAAUGAGAAAACAUAUUCUGACCCAUUGGGACCAAAUCAAAGGCACAAAGAACUCCUCAUAGCAUCUUCUUUGGAAUUACUCAGGAACCAGAACUUUUUACACAAAUGUGAGAAAUUCUACCAAGGAGUCCCCUUACCUAACAGCAUCUCACAAGGCUGCAUCAGAUUCCAGAAAAGGCUUCUCUUGAUACAUCAAGGUAGAACCUCUAUGGUAAAUCCCCUCUGUUUAUAUAGCACUUUACAGUUUCAAAGCACUUGUACAUACAUUUAUCUCAAUUAUCAAAAUAACUGUGAAUUAUAGUCGCUUUUUGCAAAUGAGGGAAUAUAAAUUUUAAAAGUUAAGCAGUUAUCCAAAGUGACACAGUUAAGAAAGUGGUAGAGGCCAGGCUUUCUGACUCCCUGUUCAGUACUCUCCUUGGAAUUAGCCUCCAGUUUACCCAGUGUUAAAAUGACUGGGUAUUGGGAACCUCAGGAAAUUUUCCAGCUUCCUGAUCUGGUGCCCCCAAUCACAUAGGAUGUCAUAAGUGUGACCUUGUGACAGCUACAUCUAGACCAAAAUCCCAUGGCGAUAUCCCCAGGGUUUAGGGGUAUACUAUCUCCAUGGUGGAAGACUGUCAAAUCAAAAGGGAACAUUUUCUAACAACAAAGCUACCCAACACGAAACAAAAAGCUGCUUGUAGAUUUUUUAAGACUUACUAAUACUCCUGGGCCCUAAGAGCUUAUCUGUGGUCCUCUCUCUGCAAACUAAUAUUUACACAAAAUGAGCUGCCUGGUUUUUUAAGGCAGUACCCUGUGCAUGUGUGUAUGAAUGACAUGGAGAAAGCUUCUGUUACCUAGUAAGACAGUAUAAUAUGUAAGACAUGUCCCUUCCCCCAGUUUACAUUGAGAUAUAGUGUAUUAAAGAAGACUUGCAGCAAAUUACUACUGCUUCUAUGCUUAAAUUCAGAAAUCUAGUUUUUUUUAAAAGACUUGCAGUAAAGAGUUCCAUUUUGCUAUUUAACCCGUUGUGUCCUAAGUUUAAUCAAACACAGAAGGGUAUUUUUUGCAUCAUUCCAUCUAAUGGAAUGCAGAAACUGUUUUAGAGCAGUAUAGGCAGUGCUUCCUGAUUGCCAGCAGAUUGCCCUGGACACCCCAGAAUAAACAGCAUCUUCAAAAUCCCCCUUUCUCAUAUCUUGUUAUUAACUGCUUGAAUUAGUGUGUCUCUGUCAUUUGACAGUCCUGCAUCUUGACCGUUACCUUUAUUUUCUGUCAAGGGAACCUGUAGAUGUGUGGGGAGACAUAGGAAAGAAAUGGGGGAAAGUAAAUUCACCCCAAAUUGGAUAAAUUCCAUGACAUUUAGCAGUAUACUUCUGUGUCCCUAGAAUUGUACCAUAACUUUAGUUCAAGGGCAUUGCAUCUCAGGCGGGUAAGGAGUUUGGGAAGGGGAGAGAAGGGGUGAGAAGAUAUUUCAGAAUUUGAGUUAUGGCCCAUUGAGACUUAUCCAAUGCUUGAGAAGUCAUCCAGCCAUGGACUUCUUGGAGUAAUAUUUACAAAAAAAGGGAUGCAUUUUGCAAUCUCAUGCAAAAACCCCAGUGCUAUUGCAACUGAAAAUCAUUAGCCUUGUUCUCUGAUAGUUACUUACAAGCCCAACAGCAAUCAAAAUUUAUAGCAGAUGAGCUUUAACUCCAUCAACCUGUAAUGUGGUCUGUAUUGGGGAAAAAAUGAAUAGAAAAACACCUUGUUUUACCACAGGCUUUGCUUACAGUUUCUGCUUUCUGUGACCCAUUUUUUGUAUUUCAGCAUUUUGUGAACGACUUAUUCUUAGAUCAUUGGUUUUCCAAAGCCUUUGUGGCCAUGAAGCUCUUUGAGUGAAAACGUUGUAGAGGCCCAGAGUAAAAGUGAAGCUGCUCUGGAUGAAGCAAUGAAGCAGGAGUAGGGGCCUGAAGCCUGCUACAACUAUCUUCCUUUACCACCGUGGUGACACCUAAGGGGACUUCCUUAUAACACCUUGAACUCUUCAGAACACAGUUUGAAAACCACUUCUCUAGACAGCGAUAUGUUUGACCUGAAUGGCAUUCCAAUCUCUUCUGUACCUCCACUCAGCAUAGUUCAUGUUCAGCUGAUGCUGAACAUUCUUAGAAGUACUGUGUGCAAACUUAGAAAAGUGCAAGAAGACAGGCAUGUCUUUGACCCCAGGAAUGGUCAUGGGCGGAAAGUGCUGUCAAGGGAAUCUAGAUUAACAGCCCUCCGCUCCAGACGGAUAUCCAGUGAUUCCUAGAAUGGGAUAUAGCCAGAGAACAAUUCUAUGUACCCUACACUGACAGACUCCCGUAAACAACUUCUGUUCACAAACACCAGAUGCUCUAGUGGUACUUGAAGUACAUGACUUUGAAGUCUUGACCCUCCAUGGAUACCUGAAUUGCCAGCAAGCGGGUUUUGAAGCUGGUGCCUCAUUGAGGCCAUAUUAGAGCAACUUAUACAUUUGACCUCUUGUCAUCAGCCGUGGUACUCUACUUCAUGCAAGAGAAAACUAUGAAAGCAGAAUUCAAAUACUAGCAACAUUUCCUAAAGGGACUCAAUAUCUGUUUUGUCAUUCAUCUUUUCCAAACUACACAUCACUGUAUGACUCAACCAGUAGCAGUUACACUGUUCCUUGGUUUUUAUUCAGUUUAACUACUGUUUCCAAGAUAAAUGAGCAAACAACCUUUUUUUAAAAAAGCUGAAACAAUUCCUUUAUUUUCAUCACUGGCAUAUCUGCCUAUUCAGAAUUAUUAUGACUACUCAGCUCUAACUUUAACAGCUGAUCUUCAAGAGACAGUCUUUGAAUAUCCCUUCUGGUAUGUGAUUUAAAAUACAACAAUUUGGAAAAGUUUCUUCUAGCCAGUAAGAGAUUUUUUUUUUUAAUCGCUCCGUCUUGUGCUGAGAGGUGUUCUUUUAAGAUGAAUCUUUUGAUGUCUGAUACCACCAACGAUAGGUGGUAGGGGUAGUUGGAGGCUGGCCCUUUGAGCAGGCCAUGAUAGCUUACUUGCUGGGCAUUUCAGAUGGCUUAUUACCUGCCUUUUUGCUGGAAACAGACUUAUUUGAAGAAUAAAAUUUAUGAAGACUGUGGCUAAGGAUUUUAUCAGUAGACUUAAGAGCUUUUGGCCUUGUGGAUAUUUUAGUGGAACCACAUCAGUCUCAAUACUGUCAUUUUACACUGAUUCAGAGCACCUGACUUCAUUUUUGACAUGAUAUACUUAAGGCAGGCGUUGUAACAGAUAUUAAGACAACUUAAUCUGUUUCAGAAGGAAGGAUUCCAUUCAUAAACUCGUAAGCCAGAUCAUGUUGAACAAGGAGACUUUGAUGUGUAUCAUGAGAAAACUCAUUCCUUUACUCUCCAAUUUAAAGGCCAGCUAUCCUGAGCUACUCCAAUGAAUGCACUGGUUAAACUUUGGGAACAGUUUCUUUAUAUUCUUGUCUCUCUAGGCCAGUCGUGAUUACAUGACUCCACAUCUCGUCAAACAAGGCCUGCGGCUGGUUGCUGUAGACUGCUCACCCUCGACAAAUAAAAUCUGGAUGACUAGCCUGCUUGUAUAUACAACUGUUAUUUGUAAAGAAGUUAUCUUCAAUUUUCUACAACCUUCAAAUUGUCAGCUCUUUUUUUCUUCUCUAAUUUUUCUGUACUUUAUAGAAAAAGACAUUGCUCUAUACUGCCAUUCCUUCUAAUCCUGCCAUACUCGGUCAAAAUGAAUGACUUAAGAUGAAGAUGAUCAUCUGCUCGAAUCUAAAAUAUACAUUGUGUAUAAGAAUUGGAGAUUAGAAAAGCAAAAAACCUAAAACUUAAACCUAGGAGUUUGCCUACUAUCUCCAUGUCUCCAUGCCUCAGAUUUCAUCUCAAUCUUUGAACAGCACCAUUCAAGCAAUCUGAGGCCUUGACCUAUAAGAUGAUUCUCAGAGAUGGGCUGAGUCACGAAAGAUGACGACUUGAUUACCAAAGAAAGUAGGGCCAACUUUGACAAACCUGGCUCUGCUGACCCUGUCACUCCCAGAUGUAGCAUAGACUCCUAAAUAGACCCGGAAGUCUGAGGAGAAGGCCUUCUUCUGAGCUGAGUCUUUGGCAGAUGAGCAGGAAACUGAAAGCUGAUGUACCUGACUGGCUCUGUAAGAUCAGAAAACUGUAUCCAGAGUAAGCCCUAUGGAUUAACCCUGGAGUACCCAGGGUAAAAACUAAUUUACAGAAUUUCCUUAUUAAUCUGCCUCUUUUUCCAGAUCAUAUUCUGCCUAUUGGUAUGACUGGCCCUUCUGAAGUUACCCUGCUUGUCUAUUUUCCUGACUCAGCUCUUGCCUGCCUUUUUCACAUAUUGCUGCAAUUAGACUCACUGACCUUGAGAAGACUACAGCCAAUUUUAGCCUGUCUUGUGCCCAAUACAACAAGAAUUUUUAAUAGAAACAACCCACACCUCACCUACUAGGACUCAACAAUCACAACAGGAAGGACCAUGCUGUGUACUCCUUGAUCAGCAGCUUUUUUAAAGAUAUUUUUAAGUGCAGAGUAAGCCUCUCUGAAAGUGUAUUUGAUGACUUUCAGCACCUGGAACCUCUUCUAUCAGAUCUCAAGGAAUACAGCAGAUUCAAAGCAGUGUCCAUUUCUCUCCUGUAGUAGUGCAGAAAUGAGUCUGAUUUACCAGGACACACAGAACUGUACCAGUUCAACCUGGCAAAAAGGAACACAAGAAAAGUUUCCACUGUACUUAAAAUUUACCACUGACUCAAAUUGCCUCACAGAAUUAUUUGAUGUAGAAGGCUAGUUGUCUUGCUUCACAUCAGCAGGACAGUUGGGCUCUCAGACUCAUGAUCACUGAGUUUGCUUGUAUUAAAACUCUGUGGUUUUAUCCAAAGUAUGCUAUUGGACAUGAUUAUUAUUCCAUUCAAAUGGAUUACGGACUACUUGAGGACAGGACAAACUUAGAAUACUUUUAUAACCGAGGAAGAAAUCAUGCCAGCUUUUAGCAUUCAACUUCAUAAGCAGAGAUUAAGCUUUUUCAUACUGUUCUUAUCCUGGACAGCAGUAGUUUUUAAUUGCCCAGCAUCCAUUCCAUCUCAUUGUGACAACUCUACGAUGUUUCUUAAAACCACCUCUUCCUGUUUUCAGUCUGUGUGGUUUGGACAAUUAGACCCAACCUUGAGCUUUGUGGGUGGACAUGUAAUUGAGACCUCAUCAAUCAGCAAAUCCAUCUGAACUGUGGAGGAGAAGCUCUCUUUACUGAGGUGCUUUAGCUUUGUGGGAUGAAAACCUCAAACCAACAGGGCCUACCAUGUAGAGAAUGAAGCCAGUGCAGGGGAAAGCAGAGCCAAAAUAAUGGAGAGACUUGAAUCCUGAUGACAACGUUUGUGCCCCUGGAUCCAACCGUGCCUGAAGCUAGUAUAUCCCCUGGACUUUUCAGUUAUGUGAACCAAUAAAUACCCUUUUUUGCUUAAGUUACUUUGAGUUGGGUUUCUCUUACUUGAAAUUGAAUCCAGAUUAAUAUAUCUACCAACAUUGAAACUUGACAGAUCCAAGUAUUUAUUAAGCUAGAGGUCAUGGUCACUGAAAUUAUUUUCCAAAGUGGAAGACAAAAUGAAACAGGAAUGGAGAGAAUAUUUAAGAUACCACAGAAGCAUAAAAAUAACGUGGUAGAAAGUAACAGAAGACCUAAAUGUCAUUAAAGGAUAGGCUAAGGUAUGGUUCAGCCAUGUAGGAAAAUCUUAACAUUUAUUAAAACGAAUAAAGUACAUUCAUUGUGUAUGGAAAAAUGGCCAUGAUACAUUAGGUGAGACAACUUAUUGAUAGAAAAGUGUGUAGUAUGAACUCAUUUUAAAAUGUGUGUGCUUAUGUUUAUAAAUGCAUAGAAAAGUCUAUUCAUGGCUUUCUUUGAACAGUGUAGGUUACACGAGACUUUCAACCUUAUACAUUUCUGUAUUCUACACUACCCACAUUACUUUUAAACUUUAUUUAAAUAAAGAAUUUUUUAAAUUUAGUGCUUACUGUUUGUCCUUAGCAAGUUAUUUAACGCUAAGCCUGUUAAAUUAUUAAAAUACCCACUUUUAUAUUAGUAAAUAUUAAAAUAUAUUAAUCAUUCAUUACUCCAGUUGACAGAUAGCUACACCUUUGUUUGAGAAACUCAAAGCUCAGUAAUUGUUCCUUGAUUUUUUAAGCAUGUCUCCUUCAAAUGAUUUUAUUUGGAUUAUGAGAAUUUUACGGUUUUAAGGUUCAUCAAAAAUUAUCGUAGUUCUUCACUGAUGUUAACCUACUAAGACUAUUGCACCAUCCAUAUUAGGCAGAAAACAAGGAAAGUCACAUCUUUUAAAAAAUCUUUCAGUUAUUCCAAUGUCACUGCAAUUAAGGUCAAUAGUGACCUUUUAAUUGCUAAAGCCAUUACACAUGCAUCUUAUCUGAAUUUUCAGCAGCACAGAUAACUCCCACCAGCUUCUUGAAAUACUCUUCCCUUAAGUACUGUUUAUACUUCAUUUUCUUUUCAACUUGCUGGCUACUCCUUUAUUGUGGGUCCUUCUCCCCAUCAUGUAAAUAUUGGUAAAGACAGCAUCCAUUGUUUGGCUUGUCAAAAAUUACUUCCCCUUUCCUUUAAUGAUAGAUCCCCACUUAACUCUUUAGAAAGCUACUCAUUCCCAUUCAGUGGAAAUGUAGGUUAUAGUACUCUCGCCUCAUGCCCCCUGGCUGAGGUUUGAGCAGUGCAAGCUCAUCCUAUCAAAUUUCCCACCAGGACUUUGAUUCUUAAGAGGUGACCACAAACAAAGUGACCAGAGUUGAGUCAUUCUGAUGGUAGUGCUCCAAAGAAAACGUGUAAAAAUUUAUAAAAGGAGAUGUCCAUAGUACCCUGGCUCCUAUUCUCUAUGCCUGGUUGUCGAGGUUUUCCUUUGAUUGUAUAAACUGCCGUAUAGCCUCCUUACGAUAAGUUUCCUUUUUAUCAGCCAAAAUGGGUUUCUCUUGCUUGUGACCAAAUGACUAAUUAUAGAAAGUGGUGCCAGAGAGUUAAAUUGUAGGCUUCUAACCCACAGGAACAUGCAGAGGAUCUGGAAUUGACUAUUGUGCUGUGUUAAUGGCACCAGUAACUCUUGUUAUGUGUUCCUGGGAGGAUAAAUCUACCAGUUAAGAUAGCAAAACAGUAAUAUCCCUCUUGUCAUUUGGAAUCAUGUGCCUAUUGCGAGUAAAAUUUGGAGAACCAGGUAACUGUUGACAAUAGGACAAUUUAAAGCAGAUAGGUGGGGCCCAGUGGCUCACGCCUGUAAUCCCAACACCUUG